rnacentral:siRNA from 1 species
AGCCUCUCUUGUGUUCUGUUGUGG